GGUAGCUUCUUUGACGACAGGUACGUGAACGGUGAGUCCCGUAACGUCGGCAAGGAUUUGGCUCCAUAAUUUGCC
rnacentral:tRNA from 1 species